GGGGCGGUAGCUCAACUGGAUAGAGCAUUGGUCUUCGAAACCAAGGGUUGUGGGUUCGAGCCCCGCCCGCCCUA
rnacentral:tRNA from 1 species